ACGGGAGGCAGCAGUGGGGAAUAUUGCACAAUGGGGGGAACCCUGAUGCAGCGACGCCGCGUGAGCGAAGAAGUAUUUCGGUAUGUAAAGCUCUAUCAGCAGGGAAGAAACAGGACGGUACCUGCACAAGAAGCCCCGGCUAACUACGUGCCAGCAGCCGCGGUAAUACGUAGGGGGCGAGCGUUAUCCGGAUUUACUGGGUGUAAAGGGAGCGUAGACGGCUGUGCAAGUCUGGAGUGAAACUCCGGGGCUCAACCCUGGAACUGCUCUGGAAACUGUGUGGCUCGAGUACCGGAGGGGCAGGCGGAACUCCUAGUGUAGCGGUGAAAUGCGUAGAUAUUAGGAAGAACACCGGCGGCGAAGGCGGCCUGCUGGACGGUAACUGACGUUGAGGCUCGAAAGCGUGGGGAGCAAACAGGAUUAGAUACCCUGGUA
rnacentral:rRNA from 1 species